rnacentral:rRNA from 1 species
GGACCCGCACAAGUAGUGGAGCAUGUGGUUUAAUUCGAAGAUACGCGCAGAACCUUACCAACACUUGACAUGUUCGUCGCGACUCUAAGAGAUUAGAGUUUUCGGUUCGGCCGGACGAAACACAGGUGCUGCAUGGCUGUCGUCAGCUCGUGUCGUGAGAUGUUGGGUUAAGUCCCGCAACGAGCGCAACCCUCACUUUUAGUUGCCAUCAUUAAGUUGGGCACUCUGAAAGAACUGCCAGUGAUAAGCUGGAGGAAGGUGGGGAUGACGUCAAGUCCUCAUGGCCCUUACGUGUUGGGCUACACACGUGCUACAAUGGUACUUACAAUGGGACGCAAAGAGGCGACUCUUAGCCAAUCCCUAAAAUGUACCUCAGUUCGGAUUGUCGUCUGCAACUCGACGGCAUGAAGUCGGAAUCGCUAGUAAUCG